GAGUUUGAUCCUGGCUCAGGACGAACGCUGGCGGCGUGCCUAAUACAUGCAAGUCGAGCGGACAGAUGGGAGCUUGCUCCCUGAUGUUAGCGGCGGACGGGUGAGUAACACGUGGGUAACCUGCCUGUAAGACUGGGAUAACUCCGGGAAACCGGGGCUAAUACCGGAUGGUUGUUUGAACCGCAUGGUUCAAACAUAAAAGGUGGCUUCGGCUACCACUUACAGAUGGACCCGCGGCG
rnacentral:rRNA from 1 species